rnacentral:rRNA from 1 species
CCUACGGGAGGCAGCAGUGAGGAAUAUUGGGCAAUGGGCGCAAGCCUGACCCAGCCAUGCCGCGUGAAGGAUGAAUGCCCUAUGGGUUGUAAACUUCUUUUGUACGGGACGAAACUCCUGGUCGUGACCGGGAUUGACUGUACCGUACGAAUAAGCAUCGGCUAACUCCGUGCCAGCAGCCGCGGUAAUACGGAGGAUGCAAGCGUUAUCCGGAUUCAUUGGGUUUAAAGGGUGCGUAGGCGGAAUAGUAAGUCAGUGGUGAAAGCCUGCGGCUUAACCGUAGAAAUGCCAUUGAUACUGUUAUUCUUGAGUAUAGUUGAGGUGGGCGGAAUGUGUAAUGUAGCGGUGAAAUGCUUAGAUAUUACACAGAACACCAAUUGCGAAGGCAGCUCACUAAGCUGUUACUGACGCUGAGGCACGAAAGCGUGGGGAGCAAACAGGAUUAGAUACCCUGGUAGUCCACGCCGUAAACGAUGAUCACUCGUUGUUGGCGAUACACCGUCAGCGACUGAGCGAAAGCAAUAAGUGAUCCACCUGGGGAGUACGGCGGCAACGCUGAAACUCAAAGGAAUUGACGG